UAGACGCAGGUCAUCAACCUGCAUCGAUUACGUCCCUGCCCUUUGUACACACCGCCCGUCGCUUCUACCGAUUGGUCGUCCCGGUGAACAAUCGGGAGGCCGUGCUCAUGGUCAGCAAUGGCCGGAGCGCGGUCGAACUUUUGUAAAUUUGGACGACUAGAGGAAGAAGAAGUCGUAACAAGGUUUCCGUAGGUGAACCUGCGGAAGGAU
rnacentral:rRNA from 1 species